GUAGAAAAAAUAGAGUUUAGGAUGCGGACAAAAUUUUCAAACGCUCAAUUAUCGAUAAACAAAACUUGACGAGGUGGAAAAAUUAGGAGUUUCAUUACGUUUGACCCCAUUACGAAUCGAUUAUUACGUUUAUCUGCGCAGGCCGAGGUCAGGGGUUGAAAAUCUAUCAAUAAACAUAACUUGAAUAGGCGUAAAAACUAGGCAUUUCAGAACUUUUUAAUUACGAACACUUAUUACGUUUGACCCCAUUACGAAUUGACUAUUACGUUUAUCUGCGCAGCCUGAGGUCAGGGGCUGAAACUCUAUCAAUAAACAUAACUUGAAUAGGCGUAAAAACUAGGCAUUUCAGAACUUUUUCAUUACGAACCGACUUUUACGUCUAUCCGAGCAGGUCGAGGCGAGGGCAGCAGCAGCAGCGAGGCGACAUGACAUGACACCAAAUGCAUGAGAAUGACUGACCAUGACGCAAUGAGACACACUAUUCUCCUACUCCGGCACGUAUAAAAAUAUGAUCGAGAGGGUGAACGAAAAAUACAUGAGGGGGAAAAAAUACGAAAGUGACUUAAAACUGAUACAUCGUAAUAAUUAUAUAGACGACAGAGGGGGGGGGUCCGGUAACAGUCCCCCCCAUUGUCUAGUUUUGUACCAUUAUAUUUCACUACGUUAUAACUAGAGCCUCGCGCGGGGCCGAGACUCCCACACACGCACACACAUACACACACACACACACACACACACACACACACACAGUCGCUAGGUAUUAUUACGGAGGAUAGAAAUGAAGGUUGACGGCUCCCUGUACAGACACACUAGAGUUGCCGAGUCCAUCUGUUCUCCUGUAGCAAGACUCUCCUCCUCCUCCUCCUCCUCCUCCUCUUCCUUCACUCUGGUUCUUCUACUUCCUUUUCCUUGUUCUCUCUCUCUCUCUCUCUCUCUCUCUCUCUCUCUCUAUUGAUCUUUUUCUCCUCCUCCUCUCCAGGGUUCCAAUUUUUUGAUCUUUCUCUCUCAAUAUCACUCCACCUUUUUCCUCCACUUCUCUCCCCACUUCUUCAUUAUUUUCCAUUCUUUCUGCGAUCCACUUUCGCUCUCUCUCAUUCUUUCUGCGAUCCGUCUUCUCUCCAUCCGCUGCUGGUUCUUCCUCUUCCGUUCCAUAUUGGGUCAUUUUUUCCGUUCUUUCUGUGAUCCGUUUUCUCUCUCAUUCUUUCUGCAAUCCGUUUUCUCUCCAUCCACUGCGGUUUCUUCCUCCUUUCCAUAAUCUCUUCUUUCUCCACUCCUUUUUCUCAUCCACUUCUGUCUCCUCUUCCACUCUUCCAUUUCCCGUUCCUCCAUUCACGCCCCGCUUUCCUUCCUCCGAGGCACUGCGAGGGGGGGCAUCACGGAGCAGUUCACACCACAAGCAAUAUACCUUUUGAAAGACCCGAGACCCAAGCUUCCUCGUGUCCUCUUGUCGGGAAGCUCUCACCAGCCUCACUAUCUUAACCUGUUGACUGGAGCAGGAUGGAGUUUAUUGACAUCAGAUAGAGAGGCAGAUGUCGCUGGGCAAGACCUGUUUCCUGCAGUGGCCUAGUAAUGGCUGAUGAGGAGGAUUUUCUUUUUUCUACAGCAAAGGAAGCAGUUAAUGGGCCUCCUACUGUUGCCCAAGGGAGAGUACACAAAGUUAAUGUUUAUACUAAGUUACAAGCUGUUUCGUUACCAUGUUUUCCAGCGUGACGUAACAUAGGAGCCGGGAUGAAACAUUCUCUCUCAUGCCUGGCUGGUUUGUUUCCUCCUACUGUUGCCUAAGAGCGAGUACACAAAGUUAAUGUUUAUACGACUUUACAAGCUGUUUCGUUUGACGUUUUCCAGCGUGACGUAAAGGAACCCUAAUAUAACAUUCUCUCUCAUGCCUGCCUGGUUUGUUUCCUCCUACAGUCGCCCAAGAGAGAGUAACAAUGUUUAUACGACUUUACAAGCAGUUUCGUUUGACGUUUUCCAGUGUGACGUAAAGGAACCCUAACAUAACAUUCUCUCUCAUGCCUGCCUGGUUGCCUCCCUCCUACUGUUGCCCAAGGGAGGGUGACAUAAAAAUCCUAUUCCACAAUCAGCGAAUUCAUCACAUAUUUACAAUCAUCAUCCGAGGCAGAAUCUACGCGUUAGAAUCCUCAAUGACAGAGAGGAAAGCUAACCAGAAUCUUCUCUCUCCCAUACCCUGAUUUUCAUUGCUUGCUACAUAUAUGUGUGUGUGUGUGUGUGUGUGUGUGUAAUUCAAGAUCUGAUCACAGUGAACUUGCCACCAGCCAGUACCCAAGUGUGUAUGUGUGUAUGUAUGUGUGUGUGUGUGUGUGUGUAUCUACCAAGUUCUAGUUUUACAGGGCCUGGGCUAUUCGCUCGUGUGGUCCCGUCUCCGUAUCUGCAUAUAUCCAACGUUUCUUUAAAGCUUUGCGCCCUCCUCGUCGAUACUACAUCCUCACUUAAUCCGUUCCAAACCUCUGUAUUUCUUUGCGGGAAGCUAUAUUUCUUUAUGUCUCUCAAGCAUCUUCCCUUCCUCAAUUCUUUACUAUGUCCUCUUGUGUUCCUGGUGGUAAUUUCUUAUUUUAUUAGUAACUCCUCGUUGUCUACUUCUUCCAUUUUGCUCAGUAAUUUGUAGAUUUGUAUUAGGUCUCCCCUUUCUCUUCCUUGUUCUAGUGUUGGUAAGUCCAUUUGUGUGUGUGUUUAUGUGUGUUUGUGUGUGUGUGUGUGUGUGUGUGUGUGUGUGUGUGUGUGUCAUCUCUAUACAGCCUCAACAAAGCCCUGCAGAGGUAUAGGACACAGAGAGCGCGUCCCCUUAACGCAUUCGUCCGACAGCGACCAACCUUUCUACAGACACAAACUUCCGUAACCUAACAAUAGUGGAAGGAACGAAGGGAAAGGGAAGGUCAAGGAUGGGUCAAUAAAUACCUAACACUACAAAGGGAGAGUGGGAAACGGGGUAACUAAAGGUAGGUCAGAAUUGCACAAACACAUAGGAGAGCUCGGGUCAACUCUCCUACUUCCUCAACCGUUCCUGACCUCGCCUGAAUAUAUUAAUCUUAGGAUAAAAUAAAUUACCCUUGACGUUCUCUCUUAUUAGCCUCAGCUUCCUCGUAACUCUGGGAGGUACGAGCCACAGGGAAAAAGACGAAAUGACCUUAAAAAUAAUCAGAAAUAACAUCGUCAUGAACGCGUAGACUAUAUACACACACACAGACACCCUCGCACUUUUCGCUUUUUUCUUUAUUUUUUUCCACUCUGACGGAGAAGCAAGUAUCAAAUCUAACACUCUCCCUUCAUCAGACGUUCCAUUUGUUUAUUAUUAUUAUAUUACACAUGACGAAACCGAUGGCAGGACUGGGGGGGCCAAGCCAGGAGAGGCGCGUCGCCGUGAAAUAAUCGAACGAAAGAAAUGCGAACGGAGAACAACUUAAUAUUCACCGCAGGACUUCCGCUAAAUUUCUGCGUCACUGCUCUCGACCCCCGUACAAAAAUAGUCAAUUCCGCCCUGCGCUGAAACGCUGCGACGGCCCUUUCUGGCAUGGCCCCGUCCUGCCCCUAGGGGAGACACACUAGUCACACCUCACAAGGACUUUCAGGGACGUUGACUGCGCUGAAAAACCUCGGCAAAUGCACAAACCAAGACUCAGAACGCCGAACCAAGCCUGGAGUGAAGACAAGACACAUAGAAAAAGAGAAAACGGAGUGAUUCAAGGCGUGACUGAACCAAAAACCUCGGCGACGCACAAACUGAGACUCGGAAUGCCAAACCAACCCUGGGGUGGAGACGAGACAAUAAAAGGAGAGAAAACAGAGUGAUUCAAGGCGUGACUAAACCAAAAGCCUCGGCGAAUGCACAAACCGAGACUCAGAAUGCCGAACCAACCUUGGAGCGAAGACAAGACUCAAAAGGAGAGAAAAUGGAGAUUCAAGGCGUGACUGAACCAGAAACCGAGCCUCAGAAGGCCGAACCAAGCCUGGGACAGAGACAAGCCUCGGUAAAAUGAGAGAAAACGGAGUGAUUCAAGGCGUGACUGAACCAGAAACUGAGCCUCAGAAUGCCAAACCAACCCUGGAGCGAAGACAAGACUCACAAAAAGAGAGAAAACG